UAUCGGAUUGAUACUAAGCCAUGCGAGUCAUUGUAGUAAUACAAGGCAGACGGCUCAGUAACGCGUAGUCAACCUACCCUAUGGACGGGAAUAACCUCGGGAAACUGAGAAUAAUGUCCGAUAGAACAUUAUGCCUGGAAUGGUUUAUGUUCCAAAUGAUUUAUCGCCAUAGGAUGGGACUGCGGCCUAUCAGUUUGUUGGUGAGGUAAUGGCCCACCAAGACUAUUACAGGUACGGGCUCUGAGAGGAGUGGCCCGGAGAUGGGUACUGAGACACGGACCCAGGCCCUAUGGGGCGCAGCAGGCGAGAAAACUUUGCAAUGUGCGAAAGCACGACAAGGUUAAUCCGAGUGGUUUCUGCUAAAGGAACCUUUUGUCAGUCCUAAAAACACCGAUGAAUAAGGGGUGGGCAAGUUCUGGUGUCAGCCGCCGCGGUAAAACCAGCACCUCAAGUUGUCAGGAUGAUUAUUGGGCCUAAAGCAUCCGUAGCCGGCUCUGUUAGUUUUCGGUUAAAUCUGUACGCUUAACGUACAGGCUGCCGGGAAUACUGCAGAGCUAGGGAGUGGGAGAGGUAGACGGUACUCGGUAGGAAGGGGUAAAAUCCUUUGAUCUAUUGAUGACCACCUGUGGCGAAGGCGGUCUACCAGAACACGUCCGACGGUGAGGGAUGAAAGCUGGGGGAGCAAACCGGAUUAGAUACCCGGGUAGUCCCAGCUGUAAACUAUGCAAACUCAGUGAUGCAUUGGCUUGUGGCCAAUGCAGUGCUGCAGGGAAGCCGUUAAGUUUGCCGCCUGGGAAGUACGUACGCAAGUAUGAAACUUAAAGGAAUUGGCGGGGGAGCACCACAAGGGGUGAAGCCUGCGGUUCAAUUGGAUUCAACGCCGGAAU
rnacentral:rRNA from 1 species